rnacentral:rRNA from 1 species
AGACGUGAAGGAUAGGUGCUCUGGCAGUCGAACGGCAGCACGGGUGCUUGCACCUGGUGGCGAGUGGCGAACGGGUGAGUAAUACAUGCCGGAAAUCAUGUCCUGUAGUGGGGGAUAGCCCGGCGAAAGCUUCGGUAUUAAUACCGCAUAUUCGAUCUACGGAUGAAAAGGCGGGGGACCUUCGGGGCCCUCGCGCUAUAAGGGUUGGCCGAUGGCUGAUUAGCUAGUUCCGGUGGGGUAAAGGCCUCCACCAAGGCGAUCCGAUCAGUAGCUGGUCUGAGAGGAGCGACCAGCCACACUGGGAGCUGAGGAACACGGGCCCAGAUCCCUCCUACGUGGAGGCCAGCAGUGGGGAAUUUUGGACCAAUGGGCGAAAGCCUGAUUCCAGACAAUGCCSCAGUGUGUGAAGAAGGCCUUCCGGGUUGUAAAAGCACUUUUGUCCGGAAAAGAAAUCCUUGGCUCUAAUACAGCCGGGGGAUGACGGUACCGGAAGAAUAAGCACCGGCUAACUACGUGCCAGCAGCCGCGGUAAUACGUAGGGUGCAAGCGUUAAUCGGAAUUACUGGGCGUAAAGCGUGCGCAGGCGGUUUGCUAAGACCGAUGUGAAAUCCCCGGGCUCAACCUGGGAACUGCAUUGGUGACUGGCAGGCUAGAGUAUGGCAGAGGGGGGUAGAAUUCCACGUGUAGCAGUGAAAUGCGUAGAGUAUGUGGAGGAAUACCGAUGGCGAAGGCAGCCYCCUGGGCCAAUACUGACGCUCAUGCACGAAAGCGUGKGGAGCCAACAGGAUUACAUACCCAGCGAGAUUACGCCCUAAAUGAUGUCAACUAGCUGCUGGGGGAUGCAAUUCUAUAGUCACUGUACCUAACGCGAGAAGGUCACCGCCUGAUGGAGUACGCUC